GGUGGUUGCCAUGUCUGAGUCCCAAGCCUUGUUGUGUAUACACAGCUCUUCGGAUCGUGCAGAGUAGUCCUGUCAUCCGGACAGGCAAAAUGUUUUUUGUUCAUUCUUGAAUUAACCGAGCAGACACGGUGAAGUGGAUCUUAUAGAUCUGGAAAUCGAAGAAGCAGGUUUUUUUUUUCCCCCCAAAGAAGUGAAAUUCUUAGGGAGAUUAACAAAUGGGAACUCCUAGCGAGUAGUUCACAAGAAGAACUUGCAGUUAACAAGAGAACGUGCGGCUGGUGUGAACGGGACAGGUUUCCGAUCGGCAUCUGGUGGAACUUGUGGAUUUUGGGGUGGGAGGUUUUGGAUUCCUUUGAGAUUCUGGCAUACACACUGGACAUCUGUUUAGAAAACAUAGUUAAACGAAAUUUUGUGUAUAAUUUGAGGUUGUCAACCUUCCCCAACCUAGUCAAGCUCAUCCCAUGGACUACUACAGUAAGAAAGUUUUAAGGAAGAGCAGACGAAUCUGUGAAAUGCUGAAUGAACAUGUCUUCCUUAAAGUUUUGUAUAUUUUUAAUAAAUACUUCUUCAUGGUUACUGUU